GACGAACGCUGGCGGCGUGCUUAACACAUGCAAGUCGAACGGAAAGGCCCUGCUUGCAGGGUACUCGAGUGGCGAACGGGUGAGUAACACGUGGGUGAUCUGCCCUGCACUUCGGGAUAAGCCUGGGAAACGGGGUCUAAUACCGGAUAGGAGCCAUUUUUAGUGUGAUGGUUGGAAAGUUUUUUCGGUGUAGGAUGAGCUCGCGGCCUAUCAGCUUGUUGGUGGGGUAAUGGCCUACCAAGGCGGCGACGGGUAGCCGGCCUGAGAGGGUGGACGGCCACAUUGGGACUGAGAUAAGGCCCAGACGCCUACGGGAGGCAGCAGUGGGGAAUAUUGAACAAUGGGCGCAAGCCGGAUGCAGCGACGCCGCGUGGGGGAUGACGUCCUUAGGGUUGUAAACUCCUUUCGCUAGGGACGAAGCUUUUUGUGACGGUACCUAGAUAAGAAGCACCGGCUAACUACGUG
rnacentral:rRNA from 1 species